UACGAAGGGGCUAGCGUUGCUCGGAAUCACUGGGCGUAAAGCGCACGUAGGCGGACUCUUAAGUCGGUGGUGAAAUCCUGGAGCUCAACUCCAGAACUGCCUUCGAUACUGAGAGUCUCGAGUCCGGGAGAGGUGAGUGGAACUGCGAGUGUAGAGGUGAAAUUCGUAGAUAUUCGCAAGAACACCAGUGGCGAAGGCGGCUCACUGGCCCGGUACUGGACGCUGAG
rnacentral:rRNA from 1 species